rnacentral:rRNA from 1 species
CGUGUAGGCGGAUGGGAACGUCGGAUACUGAAAGCCCCCGGCUCAACCGGGGAAGUGGUUCCGAAACGACCUGUCUGGAGGGACGUAGGGGGAUCUGGAACUUCCGGUGGAGCGGUGAAAUGCGUUGAGAUCGGAAGGAACGCCCGUAGCGAAAGCGAGGUCCUGGACGUCUGCUGACGCUGAGACGCGAAAGCUAGGGGAGCAAACGGGAUUAGAUACCCCGGUAGUCCUAGCCGUAAACGAUGGGCACUGGGUAGGGGGCUCGCCGAUGGGCUCUCUGCCGUAGCGAAAGCGUGAAGUGCCCCGCCUGGGGAGUAUGGUCGCAAGGCUGAA